rnacentral:lncRNA from 1 species
AGCAGAUUUCCCUUUGCCUUUAAUAAACACAGUGCAUUAAGUAGCCAGUUGCUGAAAACUCACAAGGCAAGUUAGCUAACGGUGUGUCCCACUGGACCACCACUCAAAAGAAGCGAGAUACACAGAAGAUGAGGUUGUGGGGGUGUGGCUUAGAGUGCACCUGUACGACGCAUGCCGUCUUCAGUCGCCUGCCAAACGUGCCUUUGAUUAGGAACAGCUCUAAUAUUUUUUUCUUCAAAUCAAGUCAGCAUUUGGGGAUGGGAUUAGGGCAGGGGACUCGGGGGCGCAAAUAUCUGGUGAAAGCACCAGAGAGUUUGUCACAGUGACGUAAUUUUAGUUAAGAUGUGUCUAUGUAUAUAUGUGUGUUUGCCUUUGUUUAAGAGCAUGGUUAUUUGCUGAAAUAAUUGUUAAAAAUGCUCUGUCAGUCUUACUUUGGUGUAAGAACAAAGUGGUCUGUACAUGUAAUAGUGGUCUUUGUACCUAACCAUGUUCGCAGCUGACCUUUGUACCUAACCAUGUUCGCUGCUGACCUUUGUACCUAACCAUGUUCGCUGCUGACCUUUGAACCUAACCAUGUUCGCAGCUGACCUUUGAACCUAACCAUGUUCGCAGCUGAUCUUUGUACUCCAUGUGCAGAAAUAUUUGGUUUGCGUUAAAGUGAAAAUAAUGGCUGUUAUUUUUCUGGCAUUACUAAGAUAAACCGAGAAAUAAUAAAGAAAAAUGCCUUAUAUAGCC